rnacentral:rRNA from 1 species
UGGAAGUAAAAGUCGUAACAAGGUCUCCGUUGGUGAACCAGCGGAGGGAUCAUUACCGAGUUUACAACUCCCAAACCCAAUGUGAACCAUACCAAACUGUUGCCUCGGCGGGGUCACGCCCCGGGUGCGUCGCAGCCCCGGAACCAGGCGCCCGCCGGAGGGACCAACCAAACUCUUUCUGUAGUCCCCUCGCGGACGUUAUUUCUUACAGCUCUGAGCAAAAAUUCAAAAUGAAUCAAAACUUUCAACAACGGAUCUCUUGGUUCUGGCAUCGAUGAAGAACGCAGCGAAAUGCGAUAAGUAAUGUGAAUUGCAGAAUUCAGUGAAUCAUCGAAUCUUUGAACGCACAUUGCGCCCGCCAGUAUUCUGGCGGGCAUGCCUGUCCGAGCGUCAUUUCAACCCUCGAACCCCUCCGGGGGGUCGGCGUUGGGGAUCGGGAACCCCUAAGACGGGAUCCCGGCCCCGAAAUACAGUGGCGGUCUCGCCGCAGCCUCUCCUGCGCAGUAGUUUGCACAACUCGCACCGGGAGCGCGGCGCGUCCACGUCCGUAAAACACCCAACUUCUGAAAUGUUGACCUCGGAUCAGGUAGGAAUACCCGCUGGACUUAAGCAUAUCAAUAAGCGGAGGA